rnacentral:tRNA from 1 species
GGGGCAUUAGCUCAGCUGGGAGAGCGCAUGACUGGCAGUCAUGAGGUCAGCAGUUCGAUCCUGCUAUGCUCCACCA